GCCCCAUAAAGGAGCCCCUAACACCGUGGAAGGUGUCAGUGAUGCGUGAAUGCUACAAGGAGAGGCUGCUGCGGCUUGGCCUACCAGCUGAAAUACUACAAAACAGCCUCAAGCGGCUUAACCAUUUUGUAGUAGAGAAGUUGGCUGACAUAGAAAAACUGGCCAAAAAGACUGAAAUGGCAUGAGAAGGUCACUGGAGGAUGCCGCUACGAAGAACUCUGUAGCAUGUUAAAAUACAUUUUAUUUAAACUUA
rnacentral:lncRNA from 1 species